rnacentral:rRNA from 1 species
GAUGAACGCUAGCGAUAGGCUUAACACAUGCAAGUCGAGGGGCAGCACAAGGUAGCUUGCUAUCUGGGUGGCGACCGGUGCACGGGUGCGUAACGCGUAUGCAACUUGCCCUAUACAGGAGGAUAACCCGUCGAAAGACGGACUAAUACUGCGUAUGCUCACAACUUGGCAUCAAGUGGUGAGGAAAGAAAUUCGGUAUAGGAUAGGCAUGCGUCCCAUUAGCUUGUUGGUGAGGUAACGGCUCACCAAGGCAACGAUGGGUAGGGGAACUGAGAGGUUUAUCCCCCACACUGGUACUGAGACACGGACCAGACUCCUACGGGAGGCAGCAGUGAGGAAUAUUGGUCAAUGGGCGCGAGCCUGAACCAGCCAAGUCGCGUGAAGGAUGACUGUCUUAUGGAUUGUAAACUUCUUUUAUACGGGAAUAACAAGAGUCACGUGUGACUCCCUGCAUGUACCGUAUGAAUAAGCAUCGGCUAACUCCGUG